GACGAACGCUGGCGGCGUGCUUAACACAUGCAAGUCGAACGGUGAAGCCCUUCGGGGUGGAUCAGUGGCGAACGGGUGAGUAACACGUGAGUAAUCUGCCUCUGACUCUGGGAUAACCACGGGAAACGGUGGCUAAUACCGGAUAUGACACAUGGUCGCAUGGUCUGUGUGUGGAAAGUUUUUCGGUCAGAGAUGAGCUCGCGGCCUAUCAGCUUGUUGGUGGGUAAUGGCCUACCAAGGCGACGACGGGUAGCCGGCCUGAGAGGGCGACCGGCCACACUGGGACUGAGACACGGCCCAGACUCCUACGGGAGGCAGCAGUGGGGAAUAUUGCGCAAUGGGCGAAAGCCUGACGCAGCGACGCCGCGUGAGGGAUGAAGGCCUU
rnacentral:rRNA from 1 species